GGGUAACCUGCCUUAUAGUGGGGGAUAGCCUUUCGAAAGGAAGAUUAAUACCGCAUAAGAUUGUAGUAUCGCAUGAUAUAGCAAUUAAAGGAGCAAUCCGCUAUAAGAUGGACCCGCGUCGCAUUAGCUAGUUGGUGAGGUAAUGGCUCACCAAGGCGACGAUGCGUAGCCGACCUGAGAGGGUGAUCGGCCACAUUGGGACUGAGACACGGCCCAGACUCCUACGGGAGGCAGCAUG
rnacentral:rRNA from 1 species